AUCGCUUCUCGGCCUUUUGGCUAAGAUCAUGUGUAGUAUCUGUUCUUUUCAGUUUAAUAUCUGAAACGCGACUCACCGAGUCGCUUGUAUAUUAAACUGAUUUUUGAACCUAGGCCAUGGAAUAGGGGCUUGCUCCGUCCUGGCCACGGGUUGGCCCGGUAUUGCAGUACUUCCGGGAUCGGCCCACCCCUC
rnacentral:snRNA from 1 species